rnacentral:rRNA from 1 species
UACGUAGGGUGCAAGCGUUGUCCGGAAUUAUUGGGCGUAAAGAGCUCGUAGGCGGUCUGUCGCGUCUGCUGUGAAAACUCAGGGCUUAACCCUGAGCUUGCAGUGGGUACGGGCAGACUAGAGUGCGGUAGGGGAGACUGGAAUUCCUGGUGUAGCGGUGAAAUGCGCAGAUAUCAGGAGGAACACCGGUGGCGAAGGCGGGUCUCUGGGCCGUAACUGACGCUGAGGAGCGAGAGCAUGGGGAGCGAACAGG